GAUGAACGCUGGCGGCGUGCCUAACACAUGCAAGUCGAGCGAAAGGACGAGAAGCUCGCUCUCCUGCUGUUGGCGGCUGGCGGGCGGGUAACGCAUGGAUCACAUACCUCUUAUACUGGGAUAAUAUCGGGGAGAAGCUGAUGCUAAUAGCGCAUAUUUCGUACCGCAUGGAUCAAAAGUGAAUGAGAGUCUGCGCGUCACUUUUAGCUGGAUCCGGGCUGGCUUAGCUGGUUGGUAAGGUAACGGCCUACCAAGGCAACGAUGCGUAGCCGACCUGAGAGGGUGAUCGGCCACACUGGAACUGAGACACGGUCCAGACUCCUACGGGAGGCAGCAGUAGGGAAUCUUCCGCAAUGGGCGAAAGCCUGACGGAGCCACGCCGCGUGAGUGAUGAAGGUCUUCGGGUUGUAAAACUCUUUUAUUAGGAAAGAACAUAUGUGGAUGAAUCUGUGCAUAUCUUGACGGUACCUAAACAGAAAGCAACGGCUAACUACGUG
rnacentral:rRNA from 1 species